CACCUACAAACCGUCACACGAUAAUAAAAACAGAUCUUGGGGUGUUAUCUUUCACGGCCAUUUGCAAACAGGACAAGGACAGCCUUAAGGAAAGCUCAGGAAACCUGUUCUCAGAGACGAGACUAUACCUCCCUAGACUAGUGUUGUGUUUGUACUAAACCCAGAGCAGCCCUGAAUGAAUUGACAGAAUGACCCAGCUCAUAUUCUAAAGCGAUUAAUUGUUUGAAAGCAUUAAUUUAUACCAGAAAACAAGACAGAAAUACUAAGGAAGAAAAUCUCUGUUUUGAUUCUGAUUCAUUCAGACAUUUCUAAUAGCUCGUUCCGAAGCUCUGAUCAAAUGAUUCGCGAAACGCACUUCGGAGUCCCGAUCUGAAUCAAAUGUAUUGUGAACUCCGAAGCCCCGAUCAAAUGAUUCGCGAGCAGUGCUCUUGCUGAGGCAUGGGAAAAAUAAAGGAGCUGGA